CAAUAGCGUAUAUUAAAGUUGUUGCAGUUAAAACGCUCGUAGUCGGAUUUCGGGGCGGGCCGACCGGUCUGCCGAUGGGUAUGCACUGGCCGGCGCGUCCUUCCUUCCGGAGACCGUGCCUACUCUUAACUGAGCGGGUUCGGGAGACGGAUCGUUUACUGUGAAAAAUUAGAGUGUUUAAAGCAGGCUUAGGCCGUUGAAUACAUUAGCAUGGAAUAAUAAGAUAAGACUUGGGUCAUUAUUUUGUUGGUUUGCGGAUCGAGGUAAUGAUUAAUAGGGAUAGUUGGGGGUAUUCAUAUUUAAUUGUCAGAGGUGAAAUUCUUGGAUUUAUGAAAGAUGAACUUAGGCGAAAGCAUUUACCAAGGAUGUUUUCAUUAAUCAAGAACGAAAGUUAGGGGAUCGAAGAUGAUUAGAUACCGU
rnacentral:rRNA from 1 species